rnacentral:rRNA from 1 species
GGUUAAGCGACUAAGCGUACACGGUGGAUGCCCUGGCAGUCAGAGGCGAUGAAGGACGUGCUAAUCUGCGAUAAGCGUCGGUGAGGUGAUAUGAACCGUUAUAACCGGCGAUUUCCGAAUGGGGAAACCCAGUGUGUUUCGACACACUAUCAUUAACUGAAUCCAUAGGUUAAUGAGGCGAACCGGGGGAACUGAAACAUCUAAGUACCCCGAGGAAAAGAAAUCAACCGAGAUUCCCCCAGUAGCGGCGAGCGAACGGGGAGCAGCCCAGAGCCUGAAUCAGUGUGUGUGUUAGUGGAAGCGUCUGGAAAGGCGCGCGAUACAGGGUGACAGCCCCGUACACAAAAAUGCACAUACUGUGAGCUCGAUGAGUAGGGCGGGACACGUGGUAUCCUGUCUGAAUAUGGGGGGACCAUCCUCCAAGGCUAAAUACUCCUGACUGACCGAUAGUGAACCAGUACCGUGAGGGAAAGGCGAAAAGAACCCCGGCGAGGGGAGUGAAAAAGAACCUGAAACCGUGUACGUACAAGCAGUGGGAGCCUCUUAAUGGGGUGACUGCGUACCUUUUGUAUAAUGGGUCAGCGACUUAUAUUCUGUAGCAAGGUUAACCGAAUAGGGGAGCCGAAGGGAAACCGAGUCUUAACUGGGCGUUAAGUUGCAGGGUAUAGACCCGAAACCCGGUGAUCUAGCCAUGGGCAGGUUGAAGGUUGGGUAACACUAACUGGAGGACCGAACCGACUAAUGUUGAAAAAUUAGCGGAUGACUUGUGGCUGGGGGUGAAAGGCCAAUCAAACCGGGAGAUAGCUGGUUCUCCCCGAAAGCUAUUUAGGUAGCGCCUCGUGAAUUCAUCUCCGGGGGUAGAGCACUGUUUCGGCAAGGGGGUCAUCCCGACUUACCAACCCGAUGCAAACUGCGAAUACCGGAGAAUGUUAUCACGGGAGACACACGGCGGGUGCUAACGUCCGUCGUGAAGAGGGAAACAACCCAGACCGCCAGCUAAGGUCCCAAAGUCAUGGUUAAGUGGGAAACGAUGUGGGAAGGCCCAGACAGCCAGGAUGUUGGCUUAGAAGCAGCCAUCAUUUAAAGAAAGCGUAAUAGCUCACUGGUCGAGUCGGCCUGCGCGGAAGAUGUAACGGGGCUAAACCAUGCACCGAAGCUGCGGCAGCGACACUAUGUGUUGUUGGGUAGGGGAGCGUUCUGUAAGCCUGUGAAGGUGUACUGUGAGGUAUGCUGGAGGUAUCAGAAGUGCGAAUGCUGACAUAAGUAACGAUAAAGCGGGUGAAAAGCCCGCUCGCCGGAAGACCAAGGGUUCCUGUCCAACGUUAAUCGGGGCAGGGUGAGUCGACCCCUAAGGCGAGGCCGAAAGGCGUAGUCGAUGGGAAACAGGUUAAUAUUCCUGUACUUGGUGUUACUGCGAAGGGGGGACGGAGAAGGCUAUGUUGGCCGGGCGACGGUUGUCCCGGUUUAAGCGUGUAGGCUGGUUUUCCAGGCAAAUCCGGAAAAUCAAGGCUGAGGCGUGAUGACGAGGCACUACGGUGCUGAAGCAACAAAUGCCCUGCUUCCAGGAAAAGCCUCUAAGCAUCAGGUAACAUCAAAUCGUACCCCAAACCGACACAGGUGGUCAGGUAGAGAAUACCAAGGCGCUUGAGAGAACUCGGGUGAAGGAACUAGGCAAAAUGGUGCCGUAACUUCGGGAGAAGGCACGCUGAUAUGUAGGUGAAGUCCCUCGCGGAUGGAGCUGAAAUCAGUCGAAGAUACCAGCUGGCUGCAACUGUUUAUUAAAAACACAGCACUGUGCAAACACGAAAGUGGACGUAUACGGUGUGACGCCUGCCCGGUGCCGGAAGGUUAAUUGAUGGGGUUAGCGGUAACGCGAAGCUCUUGAUCGAAGCCCCGGUAAACGGCGGCCGUAACUAUAACGGUCCUAAGGUAGCGAAAUUCCUUGUCGGGUAAGUUCCGACCUGCACGAAUGGCGUAAUGAUGGCCAGGCUGUCUCCACCCGAGACUCAGUGAAAUUGAACUCGCUGUGAAGAUGCAGUGUACCCGCGGCAAGACGGAAAGACCCCGUGAACCUUUACUAUAGCUUGACACUGAACAUUGAGCCUUGAUGUGUAGGAUAGGUGGGAGGCUUUGAAGUGUGGACGCCAGUCUGCAUGGAGCCGGCCUUGAAAUACCACCCUUUAAUGUUUGAUGUUCUAACGUUGGCCCCUGAUCGGGGUUGCGGACAGUGUCUGGUGGGUAGUUUGACUGGGGCGGUCUCCUCCUAAAGAGUAACGGAGGAGCACGAAGGUUGGCUAAUCCUGGUCGGACAUCAGGAGGUUAGUGCAAUGGCAUAAGCCAGCUUGACUGCGAGCGUGACGGCGCGAGCAGGUGCGAAAGCAGGUCAUAGUGAUCCGGUGGUUCUGAAUGGAAGGGCCAUCGCUCAACGGAUAAAAGGUACUCCGGGGAUAACAGGCUGAUACCGCCCAAGAGUUCAUAUCGACGGCGGUGUUUGGCACCUCGAUGUCGGCUCAUCACAUCCUGGGGCUGAAGUAGGUCCCAAGGGUAUGGCUGUUCGCCAUUUAAAGUGGUACGCGAGCUGGGUUUAGAACGUCGUGAGACAGUUCGGUCCCUAUCUGCCGUGGGCGCUGGAGAACUGAGGGGGGCUGCUCCUAGUACGAGAGGACCGGAGUGGACGCAUCACUGGUGUUCGGGUUGUCAUGCCAAUGGCACUGCCCGGUAGCUAAAUGCGGAAGAGAUAAGUGCUGAAAGCAUCUAAGCACGAAACUUGCCCCGAGAUGAGUUCUCCCUGACUCCUUGAGAGUCCUGAAGGAACGUUGAAGACGACGACGUUGAUAGGCCGGGUGUGUAAGCGCAGCGAUGCGUUGAGCUAACCGGUACUAAUGAACCGUGAGGCUUAACCUU